rnacentral:rRNA from 1 species
UACGUAGGGUGCAAGCGUUAAUCGGAAUUACUGGGCGUAAAGCGUGCGCAGGCGGUUGUGCGAGACCGAUGUGAAAUCCCCGGGCUUAACCUGGGAAUGGCAUUGGUGACUGCACGGCUAGAGUGUGUCAGAGGGGGGUAGAAUUCCACGUGUAGCAGUGAAAUGCGUAGAGAUGUGGAGGAAUACCGAUGGCGAAGGCAGCCCCCUGGGAUAACACUGACGCUCAUGCACGAAAGCGUGGGGAGCAAACAGG